rnacentral:tRNA from 1 species
GGGGCCGUAGCUCAACUGGGAGAGCGCCGCGUUUGCAACGCGGAGGUUGCCGGUUCGAGCCCGGUCGGCUCCA